rnacentral:rRNA from 1 species
GAUGAACGCUGACAGAAUGCUUAACACAUGCAAGUCUACUUGAACUUCGGUUUGGGUGGCGGACGGGUGAGUAACGCGUAAAGAACUUACCUCACAGUUAGGGACAACAUUUGGAAACGAAUGCUAAUACCUGAUAUUAUGAUUUUAGGGCAUCCUAAGAUUAUGAAAGCUAUAUGCGCUGUGAGAGAGCUUUGCGUCCCAUUAGCUAGUUGGAGAGGUAACGGCUCACCAAGGCGAUGAUGGGUAGCCGGCCUGAGAGGGUGAACGGCCACAAGGGGACUGAGACACGGCCCUUACUCCUACGGGAGGCAGCAGUGGGGAAUAUUGGACAAUGGACCAAAAGUCUGAUCCAGCAAUUCUGUGUGCACGAUGACGUUUUUCGGAAUGUAAAGUGCUUUCAGUUGGGAAGAAAAAAAUGACGGUACCAACAGAAGAAGUGAGGGCUAAAUACGUG